rnacentral:lncRNA from 1 species
CUAUGUCUAAUAGAAUUCAGAAUUCCAGUUUUCCCAGUUCCUUCCAGACCUCAGCCAGGACUUAAGCUGAUAUGCAAAUAGAAGAAGCUUGGGGCACUCAGCAGGAGACAGAUUUCAGGCCCAAGGGGAAAAAAAAAAGAGUUAAAGUGUCUUUUUACCUGAACUCAAACUAGACCCCAACCAAAAAGUAAAUUAUAUGGUAUUUAUUAAUUACUGGCCAGUCAU